ACGCGGGAAAUCUUACCGGGUCCGGACACACUGAGGAUUGACAGAUAUAUACCCCGUGAUUUUANCGCUUGGGNUUGAAAGAUGCUAGUUCUUUCAUGAUUAUGUGAUAGGUGGUGCAUGGCCGUUCUUAGUUCGUGGAGUGAUCUGUCUGCUUAAUUGCGUAUCAAUAAUAGAGACCUAGUAUACGCGUAGACUCAUGCGGUAGUGACCCCCCUUCACAGGGCGCGUGUCGCACGUAUGUUAUACGCACAGGUCUCCGAUAGCAACGAACGUGACCGUACUCUAUUGUUGCAGCGACAAUACCUUUCAACGGGUAUUACCGCUGCUUAGCAAGAUUCGUCUUGCAUUAAACUAUAGAGACCGCUGUUUCUUCUUUAAACCAGAGGAAGGAUACGGCAAUAACAGGUCUGUGAUGCCCUCAGAUGUUCCGGGCUGCACACGUGCUACAAUGAUCAUUGCACUGUGCAUCUAACCCAAUGUGCGCGGACGCCGCCGUGCGUAUAUACUUUAUUGUGUAUGCGUAUCGUGCGUGCGACCGCGCCGAACCUGCUUCGAAAGUAAACAUUUCCAGCGGGUAAUCCAUUAGAAGUAAUGACUCGCAUAGACCAUGGCACACUAUAUGUACCCGCGGGUUCUACCCGGCUCGCCUUUGUGUGAGUGCAGUGCGUANCUCGUUGUUUGGUACGUGCCACUCCGUAUUAAUUCAUACGUGGGGAUAGAUCAUUGNUUAAUUGUUGGNCUCGGUCUUAACUANNAAUGCCUUGNACNGNUCUUUGGUUCAACNUACCACCCNNAAUA
rnacentral:rRNA from 1 species